CAUGGUCUUAGCUUGCUAAGACUGAUGGCGACCGGCGCACGGGUGCGUAACGCGUAUGCAACUUGCCUCACAGAGGGGGAUAACCCGUCGAAAGACGGACUAAUACCGCGUACACUCCACCUUGGGCAUCCAAGGAGGAGGAAAUGAAAUUCGCUGUGAGAUAGGCAUGCGUCCCAUUAGCUAGUUGGUGAGGUAACGGCUCACCAAGGCGACGAUGGGUAGGGGAACUGAGAGGUUGAACCCCCACACUGGUACUGAGACACGGACCAGACUCCUACGGGAGGCAGCAGUGAGGAAUAUUGGUCAAUGGGCGAGAGCCUGAACCAGCCAAGUCGCGUGAAGGAUGACUGUCUUAUGGAUUGUAAACUUCUUUUAUACGGGAAUAACAAGAGCUACGUGUGGCUCCCUGCAUGUACCGUAUGAAUAAGCAUCGGCUAACUCCGUGCCAGCAGCCGCGGUAAUACGGAGGAUGCGAGCGUUAUCCGGAUUUAUUGGGUUUAAAGGGUGCGUAGGCGGCCUGUUAAGUCAGCGGUGAAAUCUAGGAGCUUAACUCCUAAAUUGCCAUUGAAACUGGCGGGCUUGAGUGUAGAUGAGGUAGGCGGAAUGCGUGGUGUAGCGGUGGAAUGCAUAGAUAUCACGCAGAACUCCAAUUGCGAAGGCAGCUUACUAAGGUACAACUGACGCUGAAGCACGAAAGCGUGGGUAUCAAACAGGAUUAGAUAACCUGGUAGUCCACGCAGUAAACGAUGAUAACUGGGCGUAUGC
rnacentral:rRNA from 1 species